rnacentral:rRNA from 1 species
CCUACGGGUGGCAGCAGUGGGGAAUAUUGGGCAAUGGGCGCAAGCCUGACCCAGCAACGCCGCGUGAGGGAUGAAGGUCUUCGGAGUGUAAAGCUCUGUCGCAGGGGACGAAAUAUGACGGUACCCUGUAAGAAAGCCCCGGCAAACUACGGGCCAGCAGCCGCGGUAAUACGUAGGGGGCUAGCGUUGUCCGGAAUUACUGGGCGUAAAGGGAGUGUAGACGGCUAGUCAAGUUAAGUGUGAAAGCCUGGGGCUUAACCGUAGAAUUGCACUUAAAACUGACUGGCUAGAGUGCAGGAGAGGUGAGUGGAAUGCAGGGUGUAGCGGUGGAAUGCGUAGAUAUUAGGAGGAACACCAGAGGCGAAGGCGGCUCACGGGACUGUAACUGACGUUGAGGCUCGAAAGCGUGGGGAGCAAACAGGAUUAGAUACCCGGGUAGUC